UACGGGGGGAGCAAGCGUUGUUCGGAUUUACUGGGCGUAAAGGGCGCGUAGGCGGCCAGCACAAGUCAGUUGUGAAAUCUCCGAGCUUAACUCGGAAAGGUCAACUGAUACUGUGCGGCUAGAGUGCGGAAGGGGCAACUGGAAUUCUUGGUGUAGCGGUGAAAUGCGUAGAGAUCCGGAAGAACACCGGUGGCGAAGGCGGUUAGCUGGGCAGUUGCUGACACUGAGGCGCGACAGCGUGGGGAGCAAACAGG
rnacentral:rRNA from 1 species